AUUGAACGCUGGCGGCAGGCUUAACACAUGAAAGUCGAGCGAGCGGCGGACGGGUGAGUUAUGUCUGGGAAACUGCCUGAUGGAGGGGGAUAACUACUGGAAACGGUAGCUAAUACCGCAUACAUUCAGAUGUGCCAAGAUGGGAUUAGCUAGUAGGUGGGGUAAGGGCUCACCUAGGCGACGAUCCCUAGCUGGUCUGAGAGGAUGACCAGCCACACUGGAACUGAGACACGGACCAGACUCCUACGGGAGGCAGCAGUGGGGAAUAUUGCACAAUGGGCGCAAGCCUGAUGCAGCCAUGGCGCGUGUGUGGAGAAGGCCUUCGGAUUGUAAAGCACUUUCAGCGAGGAGGCGUUACUCGCAGAAAAAGCACCGGCUAACUCCGUGCCAGCAGCCGCGGUAAUUC
rnacentral:rRNA from 1 species